rnacentral:pre_miRNA from 1 species
AGGCUUCUGUAUCCGUGCUGAGAUUUCGUCAUACACCAGGGCUGAUGUGACUUCCAAGAUAAGUGAAGCG